rnacentral:rRNA from 1 species
UACGUAGGGGGCUAGCGUUGUCCGGAAUCACUGGGCGUAAAGGGUUCGCAGGCGGCGUGUCAAGUCAGAUGUUAAAGCGUGAGGCUCAACCUCAUAAAGCAUUUGAAACUUCUAGACUUGAGUAGUGGAGAGGAAAGUGGAAUUCCUAGUGUAGCGGUGAAAUGCGUAGAUAUUAGGAAGAAUACCAGUGGCGAAGGCGACUUUCUGGACACAAACUGACGCUGAGGUACGAAAGCGUGGGGAGCAAACAGG